UUUGAUAUGAUAAUAACUCCGCAGCGUUUCUCACAUCUUUUCGGACAAGUCUGGGGCAUAGGAUAUAUUAGCUGCGUUGAUAAAGGGAAUUGCGAACUCUUGGCAAUUGAGCAGUGUGAGUCAUUUUCAAAUAGCUCCCUCCAAAGCGCCUGUAACGACGCUUUGGUUCGAAAUACCUCUUGGCAAACUUUUCAAGCAUUGCCAAGAACUGCUCUUUCUAUAUUUCAAAAUAUUCAAAUGGAGGUAAAUGUGGACGUGGAUGAAAGCAGCUUUCUGCAUAAAAAUGCUUUUAUAUUUUUUUGCGGUUAUUUAUAUUACAAAUAUUUUAAACAACAUAAUUGUUUAAUGGCUUUGCCCAGAUUUGAUGGUGGUACCACUGAAGAAGAUUUCUUUUUCACUUCCGAAAAGCAAUAUAUUAAUUGCCAAGUCGUAAAACCCCCCUUUAAUUUAUAAAUUUUAUAACAAAAAUCGAAGAUAUUUUUACACAACAUUUUGAUUCUACUUGCCAUAGGAUUGGGUUUUCGCAAAUAUUAUUUGAAAAAAUGGUGGACGUAGAACCGUAUUAUUGUUGUGAAAAUUGUAAUUUCGAUGUGAUAAAAUGUUUAUUCAUACGAAUUAGAACAUAUUUCUUAGUAAACGCUUUUAAUAAAAAAGUGAAACAAAAUGAUUUCAAAAACAUAAAGUUUUUGUGUGUUACUCACAAAUAGUAAUCACGUCUGUUUGUCUGUCUAUAUGAGUCGGAAAUAAUAUCUAUGUAUGUCUGUCUGUCUGAAAUAUUUUAUAAUUGUUCAAAACUUUGUCUGCCGUAGGCCGCAAUUUCCAACGUUGCCCUGAUUUGAUACUUUGAAAUGAAAAUUUUUGUGAUUAGGUUUGCACGCUUAUUAUUAAUAUUGCUUUUUAAGUGUUUUCGUGUACUAGGUUUAGGACCAUUUUACCCACCACUAUUCUUUUGAUAUUAAUUGAUGUUUUGUUUUGAAUAUUAUAAGCAGAUUGUUUUGGUUUUUUAUUAUUAUUGUACCUGAAUUCUACCUGAUCCUUAUACAUUUGUUUUUGUUUUCGUUUAAAAGAUUUUUACAAGUAAAUUGUUUUGAAUAUUAUUAUUAAUAGGCAUUGUACCUGAUAUUUUUGUUUAAAUUAUUACAAGAAGUUUCGUUUAGUAUUGUAUAUAAGUGAAAAUAGGCCUCCUGGGGAACCGAAUGCCCAAAAAAUAUCGGUAACGCGCCUAUAUUGCAACCUCAGAGGUGGUGGGGAAAAGCAGUAAAUAUAUAUUUAAAUUUUACCUUAAAAAUGCAUGAAAGUUUUUCCUAACGUUUUCCAUUAGUACUAUAUUUUAAGUCCUUUUAUUUAAAUCUCUGUGCCGAAAAAUCAACUCUUUCGAUCAUGUGAUCUUAGCUGUUGACGACCAUAUUUCGCGGGGUUAGAAAAAAAAUGCCGAUUUUGAAGAAAUUUUCUUUCUUCAUUACUAUUACCGGAAGUGUUUUUAUUUCGCGGAAAAACGAAACGGAAACACCGGAAGUGUUUCGAUUCGGAAAAAUAAAAUUGCCGACAUUAAAGAAGUUUCUUUCUUUAUUAAUUAUGCCGCACGCGUUUUUUAUUUUGCGUGGUUCGGAAAAAAUGUCGACUUUAAAGAAAUUUCCUUUCCUUAUUAAUAUUGCCGCAUGCGUUUUUAUUUUGCGUGGUUCGGAAAAAAUGCCGACUGCGCCAGUUAAGUUGUAAUUGUCUUUAUUGAAACAAUGCCGAAAUCAAACCACAAUUUUUGUCGUUACAAUGUAAAACUUAUAAACUAAUAACGGGUGAUUUUUUUGAGGUUAGGAUUUUCAUGCAUUAGUAUUUGACAGAUCACGUGGGAUUUCAGACAUGGUGUCAAAGAGAAAGAUGCUCAGUAUGCUUUGACAUUUCAUCAUGAAUAGACUUACUAACGAGCAACGCUUGCAAAUCAUUGAAUUUUAUUACCAAAAUCAGUGUUCGGUUCGAAAUGUGUUUCGCGCUUUUUUAUCGACAAAUUUUGUUCAGCGAUGAGGCUCAUUUCUGGUUGAAUGGCUACGUAAAUAAGCAAAAUUGCCGCAUUUGGGGUGAAGAGCAACCAGAAGCCGUUCAAGAACUGCCCAUGCAUCCCGAAAAAUGCACUGUUUGGUGUGGUUUGUACGCUGGUGGAAUCAUUGGACCGUAUUUUUUCAAAGAUGCUGUUGGACGCAACGUUACGGUGAAUGGCGAUCGCUAUCGUUCGAUGCUAACAAACUUUUUGUUGCCAAAAAUGGAAGAACUGAACUUGGUUGACAUGUGGUUUCAACAAGAUGGCGCUACAUGCCACACAGCUCGCGAUUCUAUGGCCAUUUUGAGGGAAAACUUCGGACAACAAUUCAUCUCAAGAAAUGGACCCGUAAGUUGGCCACCAAGAUCAUGCGAUUUAACGCCUUUAGACUAUUUUUUGUGGGGCUACGUCAAGUCUAAAGUCUACAGAAAUAAGCCAGCAACUAUUCCAGCUUUGGAAGACAACAUUUCCGAAGAAAUUCGGGCUAUUCCGGCCGAAAUGCUCGAAAAAGUUGCCCAAAAUUGGACUUUCCGAAUGGACCACCUAAGACGCAGCCGCGGUCAACAUUUAAAUGAAAUUAUCUUCAAAAAUUUUAUGCGUUUUUUUUUUUUUAAAAGUUAUCAAGCUCUUAAAAAAUCACCCUUUACAAUCCAAUGACCUUGUGGAAUGGGUGAUAGAAAUAAUGUUUAUGGAAAAAGAAUAAAUAAGAUAAUGAGAAAUAGAUAUUAUAAAGGUUAAGUGUUGGAGCGCGUAUGAAAUAUAAUGUAUAAGGUGUGGUGAAUAAAUGGAUACAUAACAAUGUGGUAGUUCUCUUAAUAACUAUAAUUGUUCGAAACAUUUGCUGGAACUUUCUCUAGUUAUAUGUCAACGUAAAUGCAACCAAAUCAUACUUUUCUCUAACCCCAAAAUAGCGAUUAUCGACUUCCUAGUUUAAUAUUUACAUUAAAUUUAUAUGUAAAAUGAAUGUAUAAUAAUUAAGGAAAUUAAGUACACAUGAUUUCUUAGCCAUAAUUAUGGUAAACGAUUAAUAUAAUAAAUGAGAGUAGCCAUAUCCCCAAUCUGAUCUUUUCCGCACUCUGGUUGACUUCGUUUCUACUUUCGUUUAAAUGGAAAAAUUGAAAGCAUUUUUUGAUUUUGAAAGUCGAUUGCCAUGUGAAUUUAAAUGCAUUUCUUUUAAUGUAAAGCUUUCCUGUUUACAUUUUCUUUUGUUCGUUUAUAUUUUUUCUCUAUGUAGUGUCUAAAUCAGCUAUGACAAUGUAAUAAAUUUCCCUACUGGCUAGAUGUUCUAAGCCUCGGUGACAAUAUUAAGAAGUGCCAUCUUAGUAUGGCAAAACCUUUCAAAUUCUAGUAGAUUAGUGAGAUAAUCUUCACAACAAGUGUCCUUCGAAACAUUAAAUUUACUUAUUUGUCAACGUUUAUAAUUGAAUAAAUUAUUAAACUGGGGAUGUAACCCACAUUUUAUACCCUAGGAACUUGCAUGGUUAACAAGUAAAAAAGGCCUAAGUCCGGGGGCAACCGUACAUUUUAUACUCUUGCAACUUGCAAGAAUAAAUGUGAGGGAAAUAUCUUAAGAUGUGAAACGCCAACCAGAGGAUCGCAAUUCAAUCAAUUUCAUAUGUACAUAUACCAUAUAUAACUCAUAUACUGACCGACAUAUUCGGCAUAACAUACAAUAACCAAACAUAUAGAACAAAGUCAGCUGAAUGUUCCAGGUAAUAGUUGUAUGCAAGGAAAAGUAUUCGCCCAAUUGUAUUUAUUUAAAGCGCAAAGAUAUACUGUUAUGAGUUCAACAUGUUCUGUAAUUUUCAUUAAGAUAACUCAAAUAUUAGCCGAUAUACCCAGCGCAAAGUCACCUGGAAGUUCGAGAAUCUUUAUAUUAGGUAUAUGGAGAUAAGAAAAGUUGUGACCCAAUACAAUUCAUUUUUGGUACACAGAAAUACUAUUGUCAAAACAGGUUUCUGUCUGAAUUUCAAUUGUAUAACUCACAUAUUCGGUACUUAGGGGCCUGAACUGUUUUGUUUGGAUUUGAACAUUUUUUGUCAUAAGUUGGCAUACUUUAAAGUAACUAACAGUACAAAGUUUUAGCCCAUUACAUCAAUUGCUUCUUAAUUUGUGUACUGGAAAGUAAACAAUCAAAUGGAGCAUAAAAUUGUGUUACAUAGUAUAUUGGAAGUCUGUGACACAAAAAUAUCGAAUGCUGCGCGAGUUAACACCUAGCCAUACAUAUAUGAUCAACAACAACAAGCCAAUACCACAUCACGCAUGUGCGACCCCAAUAAACAAUUGCGUAAAUGUUUCGUAAAUCUGCGCUAAAAUAAACUUAUCUACAAACAUUUGAGUAAACUUACUUACAAAUGUGAGAAAUAAGUUUAAUUAUAAGUUUACUUAUCUUAUAUUUGUAAGUUUAAAAUAAAUGCGUUGAAAAAACGUUUACUUACAAACAUAAAUGUAAACUUAUGAUGCAACAUUGCAAAUCAGUUUACAUGUAAACACAAAAAGUAAACCAACCGUUUACCAUUUCCCGUUAGUUUUUUCGCCGACUCUCUGACGACUGUUUUUCCUUUUUUGAAUGAUCGCAGUUAAUAAUUAUUGAAUUUGUGAGAUGUAAAGACGUGCGUUUUAAAUAAAACAGUGGAAAAGUUAAUAACUAAAAAUAAUUAAUUGAAAAAUUACUUACAUAUAAGUAUUAUUUAGAAGUGUUAUAAAUAAAAUAAAAUAAAAUAAAAAAGGCCUUUACAAUAUAAAAGGGUAAGUUGCAUGUUGUAUUUUAAGGCGUUGUUAUAAUUUUUUUUUUGCAUUUGCAAUUUGAAACAUCCAUCAACCAAAACGGAAAUAACCACAUCAUAGUCGAAAAAGCAGGAACAAUUAAUAGCUAUACACUGGAUCCCACAUUUUUAGAAGGUAGUCAAUAUCAAUUAUUUAUUUGAACAUUUUUUUUAAUGAAAAUGUUUUUUUGCAGCAAUUCAAAGCACCAUUGAUGCAGCUGUAUCCAAAUCUAUGGGAAGAAUCGUCGAGGAGGUAAGAAGCUUGUAGCGAGAUAUCGCAGAGUUGAGGAAUAGCAGAGACAAUGUUCCAUCAAAAAAGAUUAUGCCAGCGGAACCUUUAAACACAGUGGAGCAAUUUAUGGAAUUGGAGAGUUUACUCCAGAAGGAUGAAGAAUAUGCUAAAUUUGUAUGUAAAUAUUUAUUGACUGUUUAAAAGCCAAUUUCACAAUUUCCUUUUUUUGAAUAAAUCGGAACUUAUGCAAAAUAUUAAAUACACAGGAGUGAAAUUCGUCAGAACAGCUUGGCGCUCAUUGGUAUCCGAUGAAUGUGCUCAACAUUUUGCUUGGAGUGGAACGUCAGACAAAAAACCUGUCCGCGUCUUAAAAGUAUCUAUGGCUAUCCGAGAUGUCUUCUUACAUGAAGUGAAGGGCAAUGACACUGAAUAUAUAAGUGGCACCAAGACGAUUUUUCAGUUUGCCAAAAAUAGACAAAAACGGAAGCACCAAAAUGCAGCAAAUUAAUUAUUUUACCUAACUAUUUUUCCAUCAUUUCAUUUUUAAAGAAUGUUUUUUAAAUUUAAAUUUUUAGUAUAAGUUUAAUUUAAAUUAUCAAGAAUUUUUUUAAUUUUUAGUAUAAGUACAUAUGUAUAUAUAAUAAAUAAUAUUAAAUGAAUUAAAACUAAUAAAGAAAAUAAUUAUAUAUCUUUAAAAAUA